rnacentral:lncRNA from 1 species
CAUGAAAAUCAAACCUAAAUAACAUAGAAUGAAAGAUCCACUAAACUCAAUACAUUGUACAAUUCUAAAUAUUCAAAUACAUAAAUGCAUGAACAACGUAUACACAUUCUUAACUACACAAUAAAACUGCUUUGAUUUGAUUUUAAACAGCCAGGAAUCUGUUUACUUUCACCUUUUAGAUAACAUUUUAUACAUAGAACAUAAAAUGUAUUCAUGUAAAUGAAUUCUAUGUUUGUUUCUUUAAUGAUAACCAUUUUCCGAGUAGUAAAAAGUUCAUCUUAAAUGCAUUUUAAAUCAUUGCACGUCUUCAAUAUAUAAGAACACAGUUCAGUUGUCCUCCACAUUGCAGAUAUUUUAUCCAAGAACAAAUUACAAUAUUAAUUAAUUAUAACAAAAACACAGAUCUAAGCACAGUAAAAUAGUCUCCCCUGUUCUGUAAAGAAUUCUUGUUCGUAUUCUUUCUUAAUUGUGUGGCCGGCACUAAAUCUUGUUUAACCUACAAAAUAAUAUAUGGUUCAGUUGAAUAUAUAAUUAGUCCAAUACAAUACAGAAUUUCAAUGCCUCAAACAGUUGUUAUUUAUUUUCCAUCUAAGAAUAAAGCGUGUUUCAUCAGUGCAAAAACAGAACAUAAUCCCAAGAUUGUAUCAAAUUGUAAAAUUUGUAAUGCAGAAAUACAAUUCAUUUGUGAGACCAAUCAUUUAAAUGAAAAGUUAAAAUUAUUUUUUUCUUUAGUAAUGACUUUACACAGAACCAUGACUCAAAUGAUUUACCUUUUUGUUUUAUGAAAUGACAAUGUGAGAGAAAACAAGGCUUCAUCAUAACUAUUUCUUUUUAUCAAGUAUUGGUAAUAAGAAUGUGUUGGUGAAUAUGUAAACUGUGAUGAUUAAAAUAUAUAGUGUUGUGAUAGACAAACAUACCGAAGUGAUAGACAUACAUAGUGUGGUGAUAGGUAAACAAAGCAUGGUGAUAGGUAAACAAAGCAUGGUGAUAGACAAUAGUGUGGUGAUAGACAAACAUACUGAAGUGAUAGACAAACAAAUUGUGGUGAUAGACAAACAUAGCGUGGUGACAGACAACACAUAGUGUCGUGAUAGACAAUAGUGUGGUGAUAGACAAAAAUAUUGUGGUGAUAAAUACACAGACUGUGGUGAAUGACUUAUGUAGUGUGGUGAUUGAUUAUGUGUGGCGGUAGAUAUAUUAUAUGUGGCCAUAAUUAUACUAUGUGUUGCAGUAGAUACAUAAUAUGUGGUGGUAUAUACAUUAUGUGUGUGCCAGCAGAAGUAUCAUGUAGACAUAGUUACAAGUACAAUAACACUGAAACAAUAUAUUUUUAAGGUUUACUCAUCUUGAAUGAUAGAAUCUUUGACUGACAGUUAGUAUACCAUAUUUGCUACUUUUAUUGAAAAGAUAUCUGACAUGAUAUUUACAUAAAAUAUUGCACGAUAUGUUGGAGCAGUUAUUCUUUAAAAAACAUUUCUUUUAAAUUAUUUCAUUUCAACCAGGAUUGUUUAAUUGCUUAUUAACUCUUUACAUACAUAUGUAAAGAGUAAAGUGUCGGUGUUGACAUGAAUAUCAAUUAUUUGGUCAUUUUUUAUAAAUUUCCUGUUUACAAAACUUUGAAUUUUUCGAAAAAACUAAGAAUUUUCUUAUCCCAGGCAUAAAUUACCUUAGUCGUAUUUGGCACAACUUUUGGAAUAUUGGAUCCUCAAUGCUCUUCAACUUUGUAUUUGUUUGAUUUUUAACUAUUUUGAUAUGAGCGUCACUGAUGAGUCUUAUGUAGAAACGAAACUUGCGUCUGGCGUACUAAAUUAUAAUCCUGGUACCUUUGAUAACUAUGAGUAAUACUUUUAAUUUUAAUGAAGA